AGGAUAAACGCUGGCGGCGUGCAUGAGACAUGCAAGUCGAACGGACGAUCAGGGCUUGCUCUGAUCGUUAGUGGCGGACGGCUGAGUAACGCGUAGGUGACCUGCCCCGAAGUGGGGAAUAACUGCCCGAAAGGGUGGCUAAUACCGCAUGUGGUGGUGCCUUCACUGGCAUCAGUAAAGCCGCAAGGCGCUUCGGGAGGGGCCUGCGUCCGAUUAGCUCGUUGGUGGGGUAACGGCUCACCAAGGCGACGAUCGGUAGGUGGUCUGAGAGGACGAUCACCCAGACUGGGACUGAGACACGGCCCAGACUCCUACGGGAGGCAGCAGUCGGGAAUUUUGCGCAAUGGACGAAAGUCUGACGCAGCAACGCCGCGUGAGGGAUGACGGCCUCGGGUUGUAAACCUCUUUGUCAGGGACGAUGAUGACGGUACCUGACGAAUAAGUCACGGCUAACUACGUGCCAGCAGCCGC
rnacentral:rRNA from 1 species